rnacentral:rRNA from 1 species
AAGAAGUAGGUAGCUUAACCUUCAGGAGGGCGCUUACCACUUUGUGAUUCAUGACUGGGGUGAAGUCGUAACAAGGUAACCGUAGGGGAACCUGCGGUUGGAUCACCUCCUUA